GAUGAACGCUAGCGGCAGGCCUAACACAUGCAAGUCGAGGGGCAGCACAGAAACAGCAAUGUUUUGGUGGCGACCGGCGGACGGGUGCGUAACGCGUAUGCAACCUACCUUACACAGGGGGAUAACGGAUGGAAACGUCCACUAACACCCCAUAACAUCGGAAUCGGCAUCGGAUUCGGUUGAAAUCUCCGGAGGGGUAGGAUGGGCAGGCGUUGUAUUAGAUAGUUGGGGCGGGUACGGCUCACCAAGUCGACGAAACAUAUGGGGACUGAGAUGUUAGCCCACAACACUGCUACUGAGACACGGACCAGACUCCUACAGAGGCAGCAGUGAGGAAUAUUAGUCAAUGGGGGCAAGCUUGAAACAGCCAUGCCGCGUGCAGGAAGACGGCUCUAUGGGUUGUAAACUGCUUUUACACAGGGAUAAAUCGGGAUACGCAUACCCCGUUGAAGGUACUGUGGGAAUAAGGAUCGGCUAACUCCGUGCCAGCCGCCGCCGUAA
rnacentral:rRNA from 1 species